AUUGAACGCUGGCGGCAGGCCUAACACAUGCAAGUCGAGCGGAUGACGGGAGCUUGCUCCUUGAUUCAGCGGCGGACGGGUGAGUAAUGCCUAGGAAUCUGCCUGGUAGUGGGGGACAACGUUUCGAAAGGAACGCUAAUACCGCAUACGUCCUACGGGAGAAAGCAGGGGACCUUCGGGCCUUGCGCUAUCAGAUGAGCCUAGGUCGGAUAGCUAGUAGGUGAGGUAAUGGCUCACCUAGGCGACGAUCCGUAACUGGUCUGAGAGGAUGAUCAGUCACACUGGAACUGAGACACGGUCCAGACUCCUACGGGAGGCAGCAGUGGGGAAUAUUGGACAAUGGGCGAAAGCCUGAUCCAGCCAUGCCGCGUGUGUGAAGAAGGUCUUCGGAUUGUAAAGCACUUUAAGUUGGGAGGAAGGGUUGUAGAUUAAUACUCUGCAAUUUUGACGUUACCGACAGAAUAAGCACCGGCUAACUCUGUGCCAGCCGCCGCAGUAAUAC
rnacentral:rRNA from 1 species